CAAAUAUCCUGGACUUGGAGUGAUGUCUUUCGAAUAAAUAAAAAUUUCAUUCAGCAACUGUCCGCCAUGUUUACGUGCCGAGAUGGUAGAGGUGGUAAGCUUAGUAACCAAGCUCAGAAAUGCCAUAUUCACCGCCUUGUGCGGUGAAUAUAGCGUCAUAAGGCGAGUUUUUUGACCAAUCAGAUUGUCCAAUUCUUAUAUUCCCUUCUGGAAAUUAAAGUUGUAGUAAAGUUUAAUAUAACAAAUAUAUGGCGAUAUUUUACUUAUUUUAGUGCUAUAAUUCACUUGCAACACAUUGCCAAACUUUGCGUGUCUGUUUGAUCUUGUUUCGGGCUCAAAACUAACCUUUAGUUAUUUUUUUUUUUGUUCAGUUGUACCAUGAAGACCUGAGCUGAAUAUAAAAAUCAUUGAAAGAUUCUCAAACAGCUGUUGUGUGUAUGAUGCAGAACAUGAGACUUCACAAUCGGAAUGUGAGAGUUAUGAAGAUGAAAAUGAAACAGAGACAGAUAAGGAUGCUCAUGCAAGAAAACGAAGAGCAAGUAAGUGAUUUUACUAAUUGAACUCACAGCUCCCAGCUCAUAACUAAAGCUGUGUCUUGAGAACCCGACAAAACCUUUGCAAUUAUGGCAUUAAGUUUUUUAUCGCAGUUUGAGUUGGCCAUAACCUCAUAUUUUCCCUUGUCACUUAAAAUUAAAUAAGGGCGAUCACAUAUAUCUGGUAGAUUUUGGAGAUUGCAUUUAGGGAGAUAUCUACAAUCAACAGA